rnacentral:rRNA from 1 species
GGGGAAUAUUGCGCAAUGGGGGGAACCCUGACGCAGCAACGCCGCGUGAAGGAAGAAGGCCUUCGGGUUGUAAACUUCUUUGAUCGGGGAAGAAACAGACGGUACCCGAGGAACAAGCCACGGCUAACUACGUGCCAGCAGCCGCGGUAAUACGUAGGUGGCAAGCGUUGUCCGGAAUUACUGGGCGUAAAGGGCGUGUAGGCGGGGUGGCAAGUCAGAUGUGAAAGCCCGGGGCUUAACUCCGGAACUGCAUCUGAAACUGCUGCUCUUGAGUGCUGGAGAGGAAAGUGGAAUUCCCAGUGUAGCGGUGAAAUGCGUAGAGAUUGGGAGGAACACCAGUGGCGAAGGCGGCUUUCUGGACAGUAACUGACGCUGAGACGCGAAAGCGUGGGGAGCAAAC